rnacentral:rRNA from 1 species
UACAGAGGUCUCAAGCGUUGUUCGGAUUCAUUGGGCGUAAAGGGUGCGUAGGUGGCGCGGUAAGUCGGGUGUGAAAUUUCGGAGCUUAACUCCGAAACUGCAUUCGAUACUGCCGUGCUUGAGGACUGGAGAGGAGACUGGAAUUUACGGUGUAGCAGUGAAAUGCGUAGAGAUCGUAAGGAAGACCAGUGGCGAAGGCGGGUCUCUGGACAGUUCCUGACACUGAGGCACGAAGGCCCAGGGGAGCAAAACGGG